rnacentral:rRNA from 1 species
CAGCAGCCACGGUAAUACGGAGGGUGCAAGCGUUAUCCGGAUUCACUGGGUUUAAAGGGUGCGUAGGCGGAUCUGUAAGUCAGUGGUGAAAUCUCCAGGCUUAACCUGGAAACUGCCGUUGAUACUAUAGGUCUUGAAUUUUGUGGAGGUUAGCGGAAUAUGUCAUGUAGCGGUGAAAUGCAUAGAUAUGACAUAGAACACCAAUUGCGAAGGCAGCUGGCUACACAACUAUUGACGCUGAGGCACGAAAGCGUGGGGAUCAAACAGGAUUAGAUACCCCCGUAGUCCCUGUCUCUUAUAA